GGACCCGCACAAGCGGUGGAUGAUGUGGAUUAAUUCGAUGCAACGCGAAAAACCUUACCUACCCUUGACAUGUCAGGAAUCCUUGAGAGAUUGAGGAGUGCCCGAAAGGGAACCUGAACACAGGUGCUGCAUGGCUGUCGUCAGCUCGUGUCGUGAGAUGUUGGGUUAAGUCCCGCAACGAGCGCAACCCUUGUCAUUAGUUGCUACGCAAGAGCACUCUAAUGAGACUGCCGGUGACAAACCGGAGGAAGGUGGGGAUGACGUCAAGUCCUCAUGGCCCUUAUGGGUAGGGCUUCACACGUCAUACAAUGGUACAUACAGAGGGCCGCCAACCCGCGAGGGGGAGCUAAUCCCAGAAAGUGUAUCGUAGUCCGGAUCGCAGUCUGCAACUCGACUGCGUGAAGUUGGAAUCGCUAGUAAUCGCGGAUCAGCAUGUCGCGGUGAAUACGUUCCCGGGUCUU
rnacentral:rRNA from 1 species